ACGGAAGGCAGCAGCUAAGAAUAUUCCGCAAUGGACGAAAGUCUGACGGAGCGACGCCGCGUGGAUGAUGAAGGCCGGAAGGUUGUAAAAUCCUUUUAUAACUGAGGAAUAAGUAAGGUGAGAGAAACGCCUUAUGGUGACUGUAGGUUAUGAAUAAGCAACGGCUAAUUACGUGCCAGCAGCCGCGGUAACACGUAAGUUGCGAGCGUUGUUCGGAAUUAUUGGGCGUAAAGGGCAUGUAGGCGGUUUUGCAAGCUUGAUGUGAAAGGCAGGAGCUUAACUCCUGGACUGCGUUGAGAACUGCAUAACUAGAGUCACUGAGGGGCAAUCAGAAUUCCAGGUGUAGGGGUGAAAUCUGUAGAUAUCUGGAAGAAUACCAAUGGCGAAGGCAGGUUACCAGCAGAUGACUGACGCUGAGGUGCGAAGGUGCGGGGAGCAAACAGGAUUAGAUACCCUGGUA
rnacentral:rRNA from 1 species